ACGCGCCUGAAAAUAACGAAAAUACUUUCAAACCCCAACAUGUUAUACCAUGAUUUGAUCCAAUUUGUUAUAACUAUGCCAGGACUCAUACAUUACUGUACGUAAACCAUUAUUAAAUGCUAUCUCAUCUCAUCUGUUUCAUCAUUAGCCUCGCUUGCUUGAUAUUAAUGCGCGAUGCGACUGUAUGACUCAGGCCUGUAAAAAUAUAACAGGGAUUUUGCAAUAUCUAAAUCUAUAAAUUGAACGUUAGAGACUAUAUAUUUUAUUAUUCAAUACAAAUCGAAGCAGUAUUUUUUCUAGCCUGAAAACUGUUAGCAAAUUUAAAAAUGAGCUUUGGAUUUGAACCAAGUCCUAAUCCAAAGAACCGGUAAGUUUGCUUAUGAUUUUUUUUUUCAGGUAGGGACAAUUCCUGUGUAGUUAUCUUGAUGCACGGAAAUAAAGUGGUUUCAAAUAUUUGUGAAGGAUCUACAGGGCAGAUCUUUAACGUUUGAGGUAUAUCCAGACACGACCGUAAUAGAACUUAAACAUAUGAUAUUCACACGAUGUCAGAUUGCUGUGGCAUCACAGAGAUUACUUUUUC
rnacentral:misc_RNA from 1 species